ensembl:lncRNA
GACGAAAUAUGUCACUUUGACAAACAGAUUUGGAUAUUCUGUCUCUCCGCAGUCAGGUACAUAGAACCUGCGUUUGCAUGCCUAGAAAAUAGCACAACCAAGACGACCACCAAGUGAACCGACCUGCUCCAAUAAAGACUUAAUAUGCUCACAUUCAGGAUCCAUCUCUGCUUGAACCAUCAAAAUCAAACUGAAGUUUGGUGGAGGCCAAUAUGAAAGAGUCUUGAAAAAACGACCCAUCCCAAAUCCUGAGGUCGCCAGACUCGCCUUUGUCACACUAGGUCCAUUUCUUACAAGUUCAGCAUUUUGUAUAAAGUAAUAUCCUAAGGGUUAGGUGAUUUUCUUCGAUCU